UGGUGGAACAGGAGAUUCGCAUCACGGAUGUGCAGCCAACAAAUCUGCUGCAACUGCGUAAUGCUAUCAUGUCAAUGUGGAGCAAAAUCUCUGAGGAAUAUUUCCAGUACCUUGUUGAAUCUAUGCCAUAAAGGAUUAAGGCAGAUCUGAAUGCAAAAGGGGGUCCAACCCGAUACUAGUAAGGUGUGCCUAAAAAAGUGGCCUGUGCGUGUACAAAGAAAUAUGUUAUUGAGUGCAUCUACUUUGACGUUUUAGCUAAGGGUGUAAUUAAGGGUAACACAUACACAAAAAAUAAACAGACAUCGCAGUAUUUAUUCAUCAUUCCCUUUAGUUAUUGAAAAUGGUUGUUAAUUGUUAGUAGAGUACAUUAAUGAAUUAGUAAAUGUUGAACUGUUAUUAAUAUAUGCUGUACAGGCAUGGGACUCCUGAAAAAAUCACAUUCAUGGAUUAAGCUAAAGUAUUUAAACUUUAUUGUAAUGGUAAUAUGAAGCAAAGUGUCGAAUCGCAACAAAUCUGCUGGAGCAAUUGAUGAUGAGAGGUGAGUGUGACGCAGCAUGAAAGCACCAGAGCUUCCUUUAUGCCACAGUCUAUUGCUUCCGGUUGUUUCACGCAUGAUCACGUGGGGAAGAAGCAGUGCUGAUUUAUCGAUUUAAAUAGAUUUUAGGGCUCUGUUAUAAUGCUGCACUUUGCAGGUUAAUAAAACACUCAACAUAUUAAAGUGUCUUUGGUGUUUCUGUUUAUAAAAUCAAGGCUGUGUGACGUCAUUAGCAUGGCCACACAAGAACCGGUUUGUCACUAUAGUUAUGAUCACUUAUUUCUCUGGAUUUUAACAUUCUUCAAAACAUUUGGAGUCAUAAACUUGUGUUACAGGUUGUAACAGGAUCAAAAUCCCAGUCUGAAAUCAUCUGAAACUGAUUCAACGGUCUGUCUCCAGCAAAGACCCACAGGGGAUAUUAACUGACAAACACUACUAAGGCCAAAGGACUGUUGCAAAAAGCCGGGUUGGGUUUUUAGGCUUAAGAAGGUGAGUUGAUUUUGGUUUUGUUGCCAUGGUAACUUAGACUACACUGCUACCCUACAACUGCAAACCAAAACUGGA